rnacentral:piRNA from 1 species
UAGGACACGAAGUCUUGGAUCCGUGUGG